GUGCUUGCUUUGGCAACACAUAUACUAAAAUGGGGGUGACUCAGAAAAGAUUAGCACAGACCCCAUGCACAGAAUGGCAUGCACAUUCGUGAAGCAUUCCAUCUAUUU
ensembl:snRNA U6 U6 spliceosomal RNA